GUGCACUACAGUAGUGCACAGGUACAGGACAGUAAAGUACUGUAACACUGUACAAAGCAGUGCACUACAGUAGUGCACAGGUACAGGACAAUACAGUACUGUAACACUGUACAAACCAGUGCACUACAGUAGUGCACAGGCACACGUAGUUCAUCAGUGUUCCGGUAUAGUGCAAUACAUGUACAGUACAAUACAGAUCGAAUGUAGUGCACUACAAUAGUGUGCAGAUACAGUAGAAAUGCAGUGCAGUGCUACUGUAGAAAUGUAUGGGCACAGUGCACUGCAGUGUCACACAGGUACAGUGCAGUGCAAACAGUAGGGUACACAUACAGUGCAGUGCGCUACAGUAGUGUACAGAUACAGUGGAGUGUUGCAGAGCUUCAGUGCAGUAACGUACAGUGCAGUACAGACAUGGAGUGGUGUAUUUCAGUACUGCAGAGCUGCAGUAUUGUCUGCUGUAGUACUGCAGUGUAGUACACUACAAUACAGAUACAUUGAUUUACAGUGCAUUACAACACAUCGUGCAGUUAUACAGUGGUCAGAUUUAGUAAUACAGUACUAUAGUGCAGUGUGUUCAGAUUUAGUAAUACAGUACUAUAGUGCAGUGUGUUCAGAUAUAGUCAUACAGCGAAGUAGAGUAGAGAGGUCCAGUACAGUGUGGAAAUCCAGAGUAAUUCAGCACAGUAGAGCAGAGAGGUCCAGAGUACUUCAGCGCACGUGUGUUGUCCUGUACUGAGGCAGAGAAGGUGGGGUGACAGUAUCACCGGGGGCAGACUACAGGCCACUGCACUCUGCGGCACUUGUGCAGGGCCCUACUACUACUGCUGCUCCACACAGCGCAGGUCAGAGGUCACGGCAACACGCAGCAGGGUGCUGGUCAACACCAGAGCGCCCUCUCUGGUACAACGCAGACACUG
rnacentral:lncRNA from 1 species